CUCUCUUGCUCUGCCCUUGAGGACUUUUAAAACUUGCCUUUCAAACAUAAUGAGACAAAUUCUGCUUUCAGGUACCUGAGGCUUGCUGCCUGCGGUCGCCCUCUGUGUAUAUCCAGAAUUUGAAAAUUCAGGCAGAGCAGUAAUUCCAAGGCUGUGGAGGCUGAUGGAGCACUGAAGGUGCAGACUCUUUGCCGUGCUCAGCGAAGUCUGGUGAGGUCUGUCUCGGAGAGCUCAGCCCCACGGCAGCGAGAGGGAGGCCAUGCUGGUGACUCCUGCGUGGACUCCUCCUGGGGACGCUGAUGUUGGGAACCACCAUGCUGCUUCUGCUCCCACCCAGGAAGGACUUCAGCACGUUAAGAGGACUGGCCCAGCUUGAAAUCUCAGAUGUCCAUAAAACCAUUAAGGUUCCGGAAGAAGCUUCAAGAGGAAGUGCCAGAAUCUUAUUAAGGAAAGAUUGUUGUGUUUUUACUCCCCGAGGAGGCCCGGCGAGAUUAUAAAGACCACAGCGUGCUCCUGCAGAAGGCUGAGAGGUGAAGGAAGGAGACAAGAUGGAAAAGUUACUAGGAAGAAGAAGUGUAAAAGAGGUACAGUGCAUGGGAACGUGCAGAGAAAGGAAAUGGGCUGAUGGGGGAGAAUGUGAGUCUUCUCUGGCUCACAGUGUUACGGUACCACUGUCUGCAUUUGUCACGUCGUU
rnacentral:lncRNA from 1 species